CUACUCUGCCUGCGGGUGGCGCGUACACCCCAGGGAAUUCAUUAGUAAAAAAAAACACGCCUUUCUUCCGGUGAAGACGUUGCUAGAAAGCAACAAGGACUGGUUGAAAGCUGUGUGAGAGAGAGUUAAGUCGCAUGACAGUGAGCUCUCAAGAUACCUCCGAUUGGUUUUAGAAAGGGAUAGACCAUCUGAAUCUGACCCUGGCGGUCAGUGGCGAGCCAACCACAGAAGUGAAUGCAUCAAGAGCCCGGUGUGGCCAGCCGUGGCAUCUUUGGAACCAUCAUCAUCCUGUGCCUUCAUUUGAGAUACAGAUAAGAAUACACGUAAACCUACCCGGGUAGUGAAAAGAACAUAUAUAUACUCCAAGAAAUACACACACACACCAAGAACUUUCAUGGACUCUUUCUUUAUUUGAGGUUAUUUAUUUUGAGUUUGUGCGCUGUGCACUCAGGAAGCCGGCUUAGGUAGGCAGGGAAUGUAAGUAACUGCCAUUCAUUUUGUAUAAUACAUUUUUCAAAUUUA